UGUGGGAGCUGGCUUGCCUGCGAAAGCGGUAGUGCAGUAACAGAUGCAGUGACUGUCACACCGCCAUCGCAGGCAAGCCAGCUCCCACA
rnacentral:misc_RNA from 1 species